rnacentral:tRNA from 3 species
GGGCCCGUAGCUCAGCCUGGUAGAGCGGCGGGCUUUUAACCCGUAGGUCCCGGGUUCAAAUCCCGGCGGGCCCGCCA